UUGUGGAGGAGGACGCCGAAGGUGGGGCUAAUGACUGGGGUGAAGUCGUAACAAGGUAGCCGUACCGGAAGGUGCGGCUGGAUCACCUCCUAACAGGGAGACAACAAAAUGUUAAUAUUAUUAUUUUGUCACCUUAGGUCGAUCGGUAUCUCACGUUCUUAAUUAAUUAAGAAUUUCAAUUUCUAAGUUUUUCUAGGUCACACCCAUUAUUUUUCCUGGGCCAUUAGCUCAGGUGGUUAGAGCGCACCCCUGAUAAGGGUGAGGUCCCUGGUUCAAGUCCAGGAUGGCCCAUAUCUCUAUGUUGGGGGUAUAGCUCAGUUGGUAGAGCGCCUGCUUUGCAAGCAGGAUGUCAGCGGUUCGAGUCCGCUUACCUCCACUGAUUACCACCUCUUCCAUAAUUUGUAGAAAGGAAAUGUUUUGAGUUGUGAUCAAAUUCUGAACGAAUCUAGCUUCCUAAUGAAAGUAUUAAGAUGCUGGACUCAUUGAAUUAAUUUCAUUGUUUUCAGAGAACCUUGACAACUGCAUAGAUUAUUUUUUAAAGACAAUAAGCAUCUUUAAUGAUGCAGAUUUAUUAUUUGUGCAAAUGCAUUAAUAACAAUUCUAUUAAGCUGAUGCUUCAAUUUUGAAGUUAUUGGUCAAGCUACAA
rnacentral:misc_RNA from 1 species